CCUACGGGAGGCAGCAGUGAGGAAUAUUGGUCAAUGGGCGAAAGCCUGAACCAGCCAAGUAGCGUGCAGGAUGACGGCCCUACGGGUUGUAAACUGCUUUUAUAGGGGAAUAAAGGGCCGUACGUGUAGGUCUUUGCAUGUACCAUAUCAAUAAGGACCGGCUAAUUCCGUGCCAGCAGCCGCGGUAAUACGGAAGGUCCGGGCGUUAUCCGGAUUUAGUGGGUUUAAAGGGAGCGUAGGCGGGAUGGCAAGCCAGAUGUGAAAUCUACGGGCUCAACCCGGGCAUUGCAGCUGGUACUGGCAUGCUUGAGUAGGGGAGAGGUAGGCGGAAUUCGUGGUGUAGCGGUGAAAUGCGUAGAGAUGACGAAGAAUACCGAUUGCGAAGGCAGCUUGCUGGAGCGGAACUGACGCUGAUGCGCGAAAGCGUGGGGAGCGAACAGGAUUAGAUACCCGGGUAGUC
rnacentral:rRNA from 1 species